ensembl:miRNA Mir27a microRNA mir-27a
UGGCCUGAGGAGCAGGGCUUAGCUGCUUGUGAGCAAGGUCCGCAGCAAGUCGUGUUCACAGUGGCUAAGUUCCGCUCCCCCGGGCCC